GACGAACGCUGGCGGCGUGCCUAAUACAUGCAAGUAGAACGCAGUUGCAAACGGGUGAGUAACGCGUAGGUAACUGCCUGGUAACGGGGGAUAACGAUUGGAAAAGCUAGCUAAUACAGCAUACUACCAGAUGGACCUUCGUUGUAUUAGCUAGUUGGGGGGGUAACGGCUCACCAAGGCCACGGUACCUAGCCGACCUGAGAGGGGGAUCGGCCAAACUGGGACUGAGACACGGCCCAGACUCCUACGGGAGGCAGCAGUAGGGAAUCUUCGGCAAUGGACGGAAGUCUGAACGAGCAACGCCGCGUGAGUGAAGAAGGUUUUCGGAUCGUAAAGCUCUGUUGUAAGAGAAGCGGUAUCUUACCAGAAAGGGACGGCUAACUACGUGCCAGCAGCCGCGGUAAUUC
rnacentral:rRNA from 1 species